AAAGGUACAGUAGUAGGGAGAAAGCACUUAAUGAAACUCAACUGGAGCCUAGGGUCACUGAGAAGCCUUGGCUAUCUCAGUGGCCUCAGAGAGUGUCCUGUAUCUCACUAAGAGCACUCCAGGAAAGAAAAUGAUCUUCUGAGAGUACAAUUUCUCCCACUGCCUUAAACAAACAGAAAUGGGGGGUGUAGAGAAGGAAUGUGACGAAUCAGGGAUGGAGGGAGAGAGGAACUUGGAAAGUGUAUAUAUAGUGGAGAUCUCUUAUAUAUCUUCUCUCUAUGGCAAGAAAGUGCUCCCAUGGGUGCUAUUGUAUCCUAGUUCACCUGAGGGAUUUGUGAAGGAAGCAGGUAACAUACCCUGUUGCCAAAGAGGACAGCAGGGUCCUUCUACCAGUGCUGCAAGACUGACACCAUGUGGCUGCAUCAGCCUCCCAGGGCUUCCUAAGUCACCUGCCAAAGAAGCUCUAGGUAAGAGUUCACCAGCCUCUGAAAGUUCUCAGAAAGGAGUUAGCAACAGAACAACCAACAAAGAGCCAAGCACAGGACUGGAGACUAUGGAAGAGGGCCUCUUGCCAAUUACACACACCAGUUUGUUUGGGACAUGGAGGAUGGAAAAUGUGCAGUUUUGAUGUGUUUAUUAGUUUAUAAAUCCCUUUCUUUAGGAAGGCUAUUCUAACAGAUGAUUUUAAAAGAUGUCUAAAAUCCCAUUAGAGAGUCAAUUUUAUAUUCUAUUGCAAAAAGGGAAGCAAAGAGAAAUACUGGUAGAAAAAAGGUACAGGCUCAGAAAUAAAACAAUAUAAACAAGCAGAGCUAAGAGUGCAAUGCAAAGAUCUGAGUAGGAUAUGGAUUAAGCUUUGCAUCUUUUUGUAAGGGAAUUAAUGGACAGAGCACUCAUUGAUAAUAGUCUGUCCUACAAAAAUAAUCAAACUGAGACCCAAAGAACAAUGGAACUCACUCUAAUAUUAACAGAAGCAGGGAAAAAGAAUUCUGAGGCACUGACAGUGGGCAAGCAGUAAAGGUUGAGGCUCAUUGGUGUGUGUGUGUGUGUGUGUGUGUGUGUGUGUGUGUGUGUGUGUUGAGUGUUGUGUGUAGUGUGUGCAUUUGUGUGUAUGUGUGUGUGUGAUGAGUGUUAUGUGCAGUGUAUAUGUGUGCAUAUGUGUGUGUAUUUAUAUUAUUUUGUGCUUCCCCUUUAAGUGAUUGAUGCCAAUUAGUUUGCUUUGGCUAAAAUGCAAGAAUUCCAUUUUAAGAAGUCAAUGCUGGGCUUUUACUGAGGAACACAAUAAAUUAAUCAUUAAAUCUAUUGUAUUGACUGAACCUUGGACGACAUGAAAAAUUGCAGUGCAAGAAAUAUUUUGGUUGAAAGGACCUUAGCAUCCCAAGGGAAGGCUCACAUGGCAACUCUGUCUGCCUACAUUUCAAAGAAUUUUCCUCAUCUCCUAGCCCUGCCUAGACUUCCUUCCUCUAUUGGCUAUUGGCCAAACAGUGUUUUAUUCAUCAACCAAUAAGAGAAACAUAUACACAAAAGAACAUCCCCAAUCACCCACCCAAUUUUAUUGAGCGACUACUGAAGCUGAUGGUCACAAGAAACACUCACCUAAUGAUACCAACAUGUAUGAACCAAAAGCACACACUAUUAGUGCUGAAUUAAACCUUAAACUAGUAAAAGAAUUUUGUGUUUAUCUCUUCUUGCUGAAGCUACCCAUGUAUCUCACAUAGUGUCAAGAAAAACUGCAGGGCAAACAAUAGAAUGGUGGAGCAGAGGUGAGGUAGGAUUGAUUUGGGAGGAAGAGAAUAACAGUUACCUGGGCUGAAGACAAUGAGUCUAAAGUAAGGGCUGAGACACCCAGCCGGCACUACUGUAUGUUCCUGAAAUAGAAGCAGGAGAGUGUGCUUCCUGCGACACGAAACAGAACAAAAACACUAUGGGCAGAAGCUUCAAGGACUUUAAGAAGAGGCAAGUGCUC
rnacentral:lncRNA from 1 species